rnacentral:tmRNA from 1 species
GGGGUCGUCUUGGCUUCGACAGGAAUAAAAGUCCUUAUCUUGCAGGUCGGGUGUCUACGUUACAGACAAAAUAAAAAUAACUGGAAACAGAAAUAAUUUAGCGGUUGCAUACGCCUAAGCUGGCGGUAACCACUUCCCUACUUUUUUGCUUACGAAAAGUAUCGAAGUUCAUAAAGUAAGCUACGGUAUAUCCCAUUUCUAUAAGAUAUAUUGAGUUUUAUUAGGAUAGUAAAUAUUACUUUUGUUAAUUUAUAAGAUAUUUAUGAAUUUUUAAAAUUAACUAAACCUGUAGAUAGAUAUCGUAUGAUUAUUUUUGGACAGGGGUUCAACUCCCCUCGACUCCACCA